AGAAAGUAUCUUCAUGGGAACUUAUUGAUACUGCUCUUGUUUUUUUGAUAAAAAAAUGGAAAAAAUGGAAGUUCAAACGGGAACUUCUCAGUACUGUUCAUCUUCCUCGGGUGUAAAACAAGUUCUGACCAAAAAGGUCGGAACUUAAAAUUGGAACUUCGUUUUAGAACUUCACCCCCAAACCUAGUUCUUCUUCUUCUCCUCUUUUCUUCGUUCCCUCUCUUCUCUUCUUCCCGUUCAGCUGCUGAGCUAUCCCUCUCUUCGCAACAUGCCACUAUCUCAGGCAGACUCCUCUCUUCACAUGCAGCCCUCGCUAUUUACUCAGCUGUUCUUGAGCUCUGAUCCUUGCUAUUGAUCUUGAGAUUAUUGUUGAAUGGGCUGAUUUCUUGCUGCUUGCAUGAAUGGGCUGAUUUCUACUGUUUGCGGGAUUUACUUGCGAAACUUCCAAUGAGGCUUUUAUAGUUGCGGUGAAGCACUAUGUCUCAUGCUCUCUCUACCCACCUCCCUUGCAUCACCGCCACCACAACCACCACAUGGCGCUCCCACCACCGCCACCACGACCACCACAUGGCACCCCCACCAUUGCAAGAGCCAUGGAUCUCUUUGGUGCAUGCAGCACCACCCACCAUGCACGCCAGCUCCACACUCUCCUUUUUUGUCUCUGACCGCUUCCGCAACCCCAUCGUCGCCACCAAACUCAUGAGAGGAAGGUGGGGUCGCAACCUUUGAUGGGUCUAGAGGAAGGGUGGGGUCGCAAGAGACAAUAAGGAACUGUGCUUGUGUCAUUUUUGGGGUCCUUCUCGACCUUCGAUGGGCCCUCAGGAACGGUGAGGUCGCAAGAGACAAAUAAGGACCUGUGCAUGUGUCAUUUUUGGGGCCAAUACGUAACCAUUUUUUAUCA